rnacentral:rRNA from 1 species
CUUGGUCAUUUAGAGGAAGUAAAAGUCGUAACAAGGUUUCCGUAGGUGAACCUGCGGAAGGAUCAUUAUCGUAUAAUGGAGGUGCCGGGGCUGUCGCUGAACUUUUUGUGCACGCCCUGGUGCUCUCUCACAAUCCAUCUCACCCCUUUUGUGCAUCACCGUGUGGGCGCUCUCCUUUUGGUUUGUUCUGAAAGGGGGCGUUUGCACUUUUAUACACACCCACUGCAUGUGUAGAAUGUCUUACUAUUUGCGAUAACACGCAAUCAAUACAACUUUCAACAACGGAUCUCUUGGCUCUCGCAUCGAUGAAGAACGCAGCGAAAUGCGAUACGUAAUGUGAAUUGCAGAAUUCAGUGAAUCAUCGAAUCUUUGAACGCACAUUGCACUCUGUUUCGGCAGAGUAUGCCUGUUUGAGAAUCUAUAGUAUUCAUUCUCCAACUUUGGGUAUUUAUACCUAGGGAAGGAGAGAUUUGAGGCGUCGCACUUACCCUGCGUGCCUUUAAAACUAUUGCUGCUGGAUACUGUCAAGUAACGGAAAAGUAUGUGUAUGGAACUUUGGUUUCUCUAAUACUUAGUACGUGUGAUGGUGUAUGUCUGGCACUCAACUAUUAAAGUUAUCCUCUCGGGGGUAACUUGAACCAUGGUCUCAAAUCAGGCAGGAAGACCCGCUGAACUUAAGCAUAUCAAUAAGCGGAGGA